rnacentral:sRNA from 1 species
UUGACAGGCUUGGAGUCUGAGCGUUUCAAUUUAUGCCCAGAACAGGUGGGGCAGCUAUAGAAGCUUCCCCCAUCCACCCCAGCUCCUCCCCACCAACAGGACUCAGCCCUGCCCUGGAGGGCCAGAGAAGGGAGUUUCCUCUCCCUGUGUGAUGAAAGAGAGCUCAGCCCAGCUGAUCUCCCAGCUGCUCCA